AUCACUUCAGGUGCAGCCGUUCGAUUGGUUGUUAAAAUGAAGCUGGCUGUAGCGGUUAUCCUCUGUGCAGCUGUGAUUGAAAUAAGCUCCUACAGGAUUUAUGGGACUCCAGGCUAUGGAGUAAGGAGAGGUAGAUAUCCAUAUCCGGGACCCGGGUAUCCGGGUUACUCUCCAUACCCGGGUGGUUCCAACGUGGACAAAAGUUACAUGAGGGGUCGGAAUUUUAGGAAUAAGAAUUAUGAUAAAGGUGCGAGUGGGGCAGAAGGGCAACAUUUCCACAACACUGGAACACGGGAGCAUCAUAAUAAGGGCCAUCAUCAUAGUAAAGUUACUAAGAUAGAAAAGUCUGAACACUCCGGCGGCCAUGACAUAGGCAGCUCUGAAUCAUUCAAUACAGGAGGUGGGUCUGGUAGAAGCUUCAACAACUACAAGAAGGGAUCCAGUGCGGCUGGCAACGAUUACGAUAGAGGACACACACACACUGGAAUGUGGUAGACUUCAGUUAAUAAAUGUCUUUUUUAAA